rnacentral:rRNA from 1 species
UACGUAGGUGACAAGCGUUGUCCGGAUUUACUGGGCGUAAAGGGCGCGUAGGCGGCCCGUUAAGUCGAACGUGAAAUCCCCAGGCUCAACCUGGGAACUGCGUCCGAUACUGGCGGGCUUGAAUCCGGGAGAGGGAUGCGGAAUUCCAGGUGUAGCGGUGAAAUGCGUAGAUAUCUGGAGGAACACCGGUGGCGAAGGCGGCAUCCUGGACCGGCAUUGACGCUGAGGCGCGAAAGCCAGGGGAGCAAACGGG